rnacentral:rRNA from 2 species
GCUCAGGAUGAACGCUGGCGGCGUGCUAAUACAUGCAAGUCGAGCGAACAGAUGAGAAGCUUGCUUCUCUGAUGUUAGCGGCGGACGGGUGAGUAACACGUGGGUAACCUACCUAUAAGACUGGGAUAACUCCGGGAAACCGGGGCUAAUACCGGAUAAUAUUUUGAACCGCAUGGUUCGAUAGUGAAAGACGGUUUCGGCUGUCACUUAUAGAUGGACCCGCGCCGUAUUAGCUAGUUGGUAAGGUAACGGCUUACCAAGGCGACGAUACGUAGCCGACCUGAGAGGGUGAUCGGCCACACUGGAACUGAGACACGGUCCAGACUCCUACGGGAGGCAGCAGUAGGGAAUCUUCCGCAAUGGGCGAAAGCCUGACGGAGCAACGCCGCGUGAGUGAUGAAGGUCUUCGGAUCGUAAAACUCUGUUGUUAGGGAAGAACAAAUUUGUUAGUAACUGAACAAGUCUUGACGGUACCUAACCAGAAAGCCACGGCUAACUACGUGCCAGCAGCCGCGGUAAUACGUAGGUGGCAAGCGUUAUCCGGAAUUAUUGGGCGUAAAGCGCGCGUAGGCGGUUUCUUAAGUCUGAUGUGAAAGCCCACGGCUCAACCGUGGAGGGUCAUUGGAAACUGGGAAACUUGAGUGCAGAAGAGGAGAGUGGAAUUCCAUGUGUAGCGGUGAAAUGCGCAGAGAUAUGGAGGAACACCAGUGGCGAAGGCGGCUCUCUGGUCUGUAACUGACGCUGAUGUGCGAAAGCGUGGGGAUCAAACAGGAUUAGAUACCCUGGUAGUCCACGCCGUAAACGAUGAGUGCUAAGUGUUAGGGGGUUUCCGCCCCUUAGUGCUGCAGCUAACGCAU